rnacentral:rRNA from 1 species
AUGAGCCAUACAAUGAAGCUAUGGGAGAGAGUCAUUGAGCACCGCUUAAGAAGAAUGACAAGCGUGACCAAAAAUCAGUUUGGUUUCAUGCCUGGGAGGUCGACCAUGGAAGCCAUUUUCUUGGUACGACAACUUAUGGAGAGAUAUAGGGAGCAUAAGAAGGACUUGCAUAUGGUGUUCGUUGACUUGGAGAAGGCCUAUGAUAAGAUACCGCGAAAUGUCAUGUGGUGGGCCUUGGAGAAACACAAAGUCCCAGCAAAGUACAUUACCCUCAUCAAGGACAUGUACAAUAAUGUUGUGACAAGUGUUCGAACAAGUGAUGUCGACACCGAUGACUUCCCGAUUAAGAUAGGACUGCAUCAGGGGUCAGCUUUGAGCCCUUAUCUUUUUGCUUUGGUGAUGGAUGAGGUCACAAGGGGUAUACAAGGAGAUAUCCCAUGGUGUAUGCUCUUUGCGGAUGAUGUGGUGCUAGUUGACGAUAGUCGGACGGGGGUAAAUAGGAAGUUAGAGUUAUGGAGACAAACCUUGGAAUCGAAAGGGUUUAGGCUUAGUAGAACUAAAACCGAGUACAUGAUGUGCGGUUUCAGUACUACUAGCUGUGAGGAGGAGGAGGUUAGCCUUGAUGGCCAGGUGGUACCUCGGAAGGACACCUUUCGGUAUUUGGGGUCAAUGUUGCAGGAGGAUGGGGGUAUUGAUGAAGAUGUGAACCAUCGAAUCAAAGCCGGAUGGAUGAAGUGGCGCCAAGCUUCUGGCAUUCUCUAUGACAAGAGAGUGCCACAAAAGCUAAAAGGCAAGUUCUACAGGACGGCGGUUCGACCCGCAAUGUUGUAUGGCACGGAGUGUUGGCCGACUAAAAGGCGACAUGUUCAACAGUUAGGUGUGGCGGAGAUGCGUAUGUUGAGAUGGAUGUGUGGCCACACGAGGAAGGAUCGAGUCCGGAAUGAUGAUAUACGAGAUAGAGUUGGGGUAGCACCAAUUGAGGAGAAGCUUGUCCAACAUCGUUUGAGAUGGUUUGGGCAUAUUCAGCGCAGGCCUCCAGAAGCUCCAGUGCAUAGCGGACGGCUAAAGCGUGCGGAGAAUGUCAAGAGAGGGCGGGGUCGACCGACUUUGACAUGGGAGGAGUCCGUUAAGAGAGACCUGAAGGAUUGGAGUAUCGACAAAGAGCUAGCUAUGGACAGGGGUGCGUGGAAGCUUGCUAUCCAUGUGCCAGAGCCAUGA